GACAGAGGGUGCAAACGUUGCUCGGAAUCACUGGGCGUAAAGGGAGCGUAGGUGGGUUGGUAAGUCAGUGGUGAAAUCCCCGAGCUUAACUUGGGAACUGCCAUUGAUACUAUCAGUCUUGAAUACUGUGGAGGUUAGCGGAAUAUGUCAUGUAGCGGUGAAAUGCUUAGAUAUGACAUAGAACACCAAUUGCGAAGGCAGCUGGCUACACAAUUAUUGACACUGAGGCUCGAAAGCGUGGGGAUCAAACAGG
rnacentral:rRNA from 1 species